rnacentral:misc_RNA from 1 species
AGCAGCCGCGGUAAUUCCAGCUCCAAUAGCGUAUAUUAAAGUUGUUGCAGUUAAAAAGCUCGUAGUUGAAUUUCGGGAUCAAUUAAUCGGUCGUGCCUCUGGUACGCACUGGUUUUAUUGGUUUCUCCCUUCUGACGAACCAGGAUGUCAUUAAUUUGGUGUCUUGGGGAAUCAGGACUGUUACUUUGAAAAAUUAGAGUGUUUAAAGCAGGCUAACGCUUGAAUACAUUAGCAUGGAAUAAUGAAAUAGGACGUUUGAUCCUAUUUUGUUGGUUUCUAGGAUCGACGUAAUGAUUAAUAGGGAUAGUUGGGGGCAUUAGUAUUCAAUUGUCAGAGGUGAAAUUCUUGGAUUUAUUGAAGACUAACUACUGCGAAAGCAUUUGCCAAGGAUGUUUUCAUUAAUCAAGAACGAAAGUUAGGGGAUCGAAGACGAUCAGAUACCGUCGUAGUCUUAACCAUAAACUAUGCCGACUAGGGAUCGGAUGAUGUUAAUUUUUUAAUGUACUCAUUCGGCGCCUUA